rnacentral:rRNA from 1 species
AACGAACGCUGGCGGCAGGCUUAACACAUGCAAGUCGAACGCACCGCAAGGUGAGUGGCAGACGGGUGAGUAACACGUGGGGAUCUGCCCAAUGGUACGGAAUAGCUCCGGGAAACUGGAAUUAAUACCGUAUGUGCCCUUCGGGGGAAAGAUUUAUCGCCACUGGAUGAACCCGCGUCGGAUUAGCUAGUUGGUGAGGUAAGGGCUCACCAAGGCGACGAUCCGUAGCUGGUCUGAGAGGAUGAUCAGCCACACUGGGACUGAGACACGGCCCAGACUCCUACGGGAGGCAGCAGUGGGGAAUAUUGGACAAUGGGCGCAAGCCUGAUCCAGCCAUGCCGCGUGAGUGAUGAAGGCCUUAGGGUUGUAAAGCUCUUUCGCCGACGAAGAUAAUGACGGUAGUCGGAGAAGAAGCCCCGGCUAACUUCGUGCCAGCCGCCGCGGUAA